rnacentral:rRNA from 1 species
UUCGGAAUUACUGGGCGUAAAGCGCACGUAGGCGGACUUUUAAGUCAGGUGUGAAAUCCCGGGGCUCAACCUCGGAACUGCAUUUGAAACUGGAAGUCUGGAGAUCAGGAGAGGUUAGCGGAAUACCGAGUGUAGAGGUGAAAUUCGUAGAUAUUCGGUGGAACACCAGUGGCGAAGGCGGCUAACUGGACUGAUACUGACGCUGAGGUGCGAAAGUGUGGGGAGCAAACAGGAUUAGAUACCCUGGUAGUCCACACCGUAAACGAUGAGAGCUAGUUGUUGGCAGGCAUGCCUGUCGGU